rnacentral:snRNA from 1 species
UGAAGAUCUUCUUCAAGAACU